rnacentral:lncRNA from 1 species
GACUCACUAUCAAAAUAUAACCGAAUAUCUAAUAACAAAUUAACUACUGUCAAGUUAUAACUAAAACAUUUCACCACAUUAGUUCAAUUAUAAGGCUUCUCUAAACAAAAUGAGCAAGCCAUCUUCGCAUGGAAAUAAUGUAUACAGAGUCGAAAUAUCAUUCUACCUAUAGUCUAUCCUAUACAUGCCUUAAACCAUGAUGAUAUACAAUCUUCUCAACCCACAUAAUGACUCGAUAGUGUGAUGAUAUCUCCGGCCCUUCCAACUCGAGCUAAAGUAUAAACCUAUAAGAAAUGGAAAAGAGAACAUAGUAAGCUUCAAUGCUUAGUAAGUUUUAAGCAAUGCAAACAAUUAAUUUACUUAUAGAUCGAUUAUUUCAAAUUUUCAAGAAAUCAUUCCUAGAUAAUUGCCAUUUUGGCCAAGUAUCCAUGAACAUAAUGCAUAUUUAGCAAAUUCACCUCACUUGAAUCUGAACUCAAUUAAAACCAAAUAUUUAAAUCACAAAUAAGAUCAUAAGAACUCGAAAAGCAUCUCAUUAACAAGUUUUAACCAUGUUUGCAACAAAAUCACAAAUUCACUACAAGCUGUCUUCCUAAGCAACAGUCACUAAAUUAUUUAUAUCUGGAUAUAAGAAACUCCAAAUAAAGUGCUGUUAAUUUUCCCUGAAAAUAGACUCAUAUAUCUUCCAUCCAUCAAAUUUUCAUAAUUUUUUGUUUGACCAAUCAAUACCAGAUUUUUAUUGAAGUUUCCCCUGUUUCACUGUUUGACUAUUCUGACCACUCUUCACUAUGAAUCAAUUUUCUCAUUAUAAAGAAUUCGAAAUAUGUUAUCGUUUAUUUCAUUUGCAAUUAGACUCAUUAAGGGGUCUAAGAAUAUAAAUUUUAUCUUAUAACCAUUUUUUUACCAUUUAUCAUUUUCUAAAAAUAGAACAGGGGACCUCGAAGUCAUUUUGACUUUAUUCCACGCCACUUCAAAUAUCUCAUUAUUGGAAAUUCUUUUGCUUACAUGGUUUAUUUUAUAAGAAACUAGACUCAUUAAAAUUUCGUGACAUAAUUUAUUCAGCCUCUAACUCAACUCCCACAAUUUAUGGUGAUUUUCCGAAAUCACAUUACUGUUGCUGUCCCAAGCAGAUUUAUUACCCAUUCUUUGCAUUCAUAUUAUUUAACAUGUAUAUCACCAAAUCAAUCUCAUAUAACCUUUCACCAUAACCGAAUACACACAUACACAUAUGAGAUUUUCACAUAUACUUCUCAUUUCGCAUUCAUGAUUCAAUUCCGAUCAAUCUAACAUAUAAAAGUAUAUAAUACAUACCUGACCAACUUAAUGUAUUGAACAUAUUCAAUGGUAGUUUACUACGAACAUUCGAAAUCAAAAUCUUACUCCAAUCAUCGGCAUUAAGUCUGCUAGGUUUAAAACCCAAAUCCAAUCACCACCACAAAGCAUGCGGGACUUUAAACCUAGAUAUAAUACCAGCACAAAGCUGCGGGACUUUAGCCCGGAUAUAAUACCAGCACAAAACCUGCGGGAAUUUAGCCCGGAUAUAACACCAGCACGAAUGCCUUCGGGGCUUAACCCGGAUAUAACACCAGCACGAAUGCCUUCGGGACUUAGCCCGGAUAUAACACCAGCACGAAUGCCUUCAGGACUUAGCCCGAGUAUAAUUCUCCAUUAUCAUGCACAUAUAUAUAUCAUAACACAUUAGCAUUUCAUUUACAUUACUUAAACACAAGCACAACAUGCUUAUCAACCAUUCCACUUUCAGCUCAAUAGCCACAUACAAAGAACACGAUUUCGUUUCGCUAUCCAACAUGAUUUCUAUAACCAUUCGGCUACAAGUCAUAUGCACAAAUUAUUUAUCCCACUACGUAAUUCAAGUAGAACCAAUAGGUCACAAUUUAUUUAUUAUGCUUAUAUACCAUGAUUUUAUCAAAUCAUAGGCUAAGUUUCAUUAUCCAAAGACUUACCUCGGAUAUUUUGAACAGUUGUGGAUAGGCUACUCGAUUGCUUUCUCAUUUCCCCUAUCUGAUUUAGUUCUUCUUUGCUCUUGAGCUUUAAAUUUAAACAAAUGAAUUUGUUUAAUUACUUACUCAACUUUAAUUCUAUCUACUCGAUUGCUUUCUCCUUUCCCCUAUCUGAUUUAGUUCCUCUUUGCUCCUGAGCUUUAAAUUUAAACAAAUGAAUUUGUUUAAUUACUUACUCAACUUUAAUUCUAUAAUAGUCACAUUUGACAAUCAUAUAAUUUCAAUGCAUAUUAUGUUUUAUAAAAUAUGCCAUGACUCAAUUUCAUGCUUAUUAUAUCAAUAGCUAAUUCGCAUACACAAACAAAGAUUCACAUAACUUACCAUGCUACCUUAUACAUGAAUUCAACCAUAUAUACGAAUAUCAACUUAUUAAACAUUUAUCACAUUUCCACUUGCUAUUUAUCAAUAAUGCCGCACACACACAAAUACAUUACAUACUCAUAUGCAUGCAACCAAUUUUUGAUUAAUAUAUAUCCCAUUCAGCCCUAACUACUCAAUUUAACCUUCAUAUUCAAAUUUAUAGGUAAUGCCGAAUGCCCAAACUUAAUCAAUCUCAAAAUUUAGCUUUCAUCACUUUAAUUAACUACUACUUAUUCUUCCAAAACCUCAAAUAUAAGGUAUUUAGCACCUAUACACUUAUACCGAAUUAGCAAGUACAUAUGAUCCUUGGCCGAAUGUCAUUAAACACAAGUCAUCAAAAUCUUAUUAUUUACCAUCUUAUAUAUUAUUAGAUAAAUGGAUUAAUUAUACAUAUAUACUACCAAAGCCGAACAUAAAAAUUUUACCCAUGCAUAACAUUACUCAUAUUCCAAUACUCAUAUUAUUCAAAAUCAUACUCUAAAAAAAAUCAUGUACAAUGCCGAACACUUAGAUGAUCAAACAUUUAAUUUAUUCAUUUCAAAACACCCCAAACGGCAUUUGUUCAAGACAUUAAGCAAAUCCAUGUUCGGCUAUUACACAUAUGAGUAUUAGCAAUUUAUAUUUUUAACAAGAUCAACUUCUCAACAAUUCUUCAUCAAAACUUAAAGGCAAUAAUCAAAUUCCUUCCUUAUCUACCAUAACCAAAUGCUCAAUUCAUCACUCAAAAUUCAAAGUUUUGGCAUGGGCUAAGUAAGAAACAUGAUAAUUAACUUAAAACAAGCUACAAUUUCAAAAAUCUAACAUAAUUUACUAACCUUCCUUAUGUUUCAAAUGGACGAAUGUCUUGCUACUCUUUUUCUUUCUUUAAGUUCGGCUAAGAAGAACAAAGAUGAGACUUUGUUUUCUUCACCAUUAUUUCUAUUAUUAUUAUGAUUUUAUUCAUCUACAUUAGAAAAUAUAAAGCCACUUAACUAAUAAAUAAUACAUAUAUUUUAUAUAAACCAUUAUCAUGACCGGCCACUACUAAAAAAAUGGAUAUUUGACAUGCAAGUCCAUCCUCUUUAUUACAUGCAUUAAUAGACCACUUUAAAAUUAACCUAUCACAUUUCACAAUUGUCUCACAUAAGUCCUAUUUAAUAAAUUUCACAUACAAAUGACAAAAUUAAAGCAUGAAACUUUUGACACAUGCAUUAUCUCAUAUAAUAGACAUGAAAUUUAACAUUUAAUUAUUUUCAUGACUCGGUUUUGUGGUCCUGAAACCACUUCCCGACUAGGGUCAAAUUAGGGCUAUUACAACUCUCCCCUCCUUAGGGAUUUUCGUCCCCGAAAAUCUUAUAAAAAAAAAUAGUUUCCAUUCUGAAAACAUUUUCAAAAAUUUCAGAAUCACAAAUUUCCAUUCAUCACAUGUAUCUCUUUUUACCAACAAUCUCUAAACUUUAAUUCACACUGACAGAUCACAUUGGCAGACUAUAUUAUAAAUAUCUCAACAACUUUAUCGAUCGAAAUUUUGUACAUACUAAACUGAAGACACAGAUUCUUCCUUGUUAAAAGAUCGAUCAUGACCCAAUGACAUUUCUUUUUCAGAAGACAAAUAAAUUUUUUUUAUUCGGUUUGGAUAUCAAUUCUGUCUCAUAAACACUUCUAUAACAUCACUUAUUGCUUUUAUUCCAUAUGCACAAAAUUUCAACUCUGACAGAUAGCAACUUGUCAUCUGAAUAUAGUUCUGAAAUACGCUACAAUACACAGUCACUUACACACCUGAUCCAUAUAUCUGUAUUAUUUAUUUUAACUCAGAUAAACAAACAUUUCACAGUCGGAGCUCAUAUAAAAAUCCUUUAACCCAUCUGAAUACUUAUUCCAUAUAAGAACAAUAAUAACAUUAACAGAAAUUUCAUAUGUCCAAACAUCCAUAAUCGAAUAACUGUUACUCUGAACUCAUUUUGAACUAUCACAUCUCAAUAUACUUUUAUACUUCUCAAUUUCACUAGAAGAAUAGACCUUGCUUAACGUUCAAUACUUUUAUUCCUUGGUUCAAGAAACAUUCAAAUUUUUCCCUCGAAUACUCGAAAUUGUCAGAUAUGCAACACUGACACAACCACAAUCAUCUCUAAUUAUCAGCUGAACAGUUCUUUUUAUAAUAACUUUAACAUUUGUCUCUGAAUCUUUAACAAAUUCAAUCAUACAUAUAAUUCGAGUUAAACCACACAACUGAAUCAGUCUUGUCUAACAAAUAAUAACUUUUCAAGACUACUUUUCUUUGUGCAUGUCGUAACUCUUCAAAUAUACAUUCUAUUAGAUCUCUUCAGAUAACUAAUCAAAAUUCAUUAUCACUGCAUAACUCGAAAGAACAUAACACUCAAUCUUUAACUCACUAAUAUAUAAGUGAAAACCAAUCCAUAGGUCUGAGCUGAAUUCUUUAUCAUUCAGACCCUUAUUUAUGGCCAUUCCUUUCAUAAGAAUCAGAGAAAUCCAAAUAUAUAAUCAUUAUAAACAUAAUUGUUUCAGAUAAAAAAAAUAUACACUUUAGAAUUGAGCCAUAUCCAAUUAUUCAUAUAAGAAAAAUGAAAAGAAAACCAGAAUACAAAAAUCCAAAAUACAAUGUUGUAUCAGAAAUCCUAGAAUAGAAUCUCCCAGAACAUAGAAAUAAAGAUCAAAAUAACUCUUCAGAGAAUACCAGAAGAAGACUACAAUUAAUAACCCUGAAAUUUCCUCUAUAACAGAAAUAACACAUUCUUCAACAUUUUUAUAAGAUGGAAUACCAAUCAAUAGAAAUAGAAGAAUAACCUCAUAUGAAUUUAUCCCCGAAUUCAUUCCGAUCAUACUACAAUAAAUUUCCAAACAGAGGAAUACGAUGAUACCGAUUAUAAACCAAUCAAAAUGGCAAUACUUUUAUUAAACAUAAGAGUCAGAUAACAUUCUCACUUUAUAGCAUUUUCAUCAGAAAAAGGAACAAUCACACAUGUGUCUCUGAGAAUAAGAAAUAUACAGAAUAUUCAAAAGAAAUCAUCGAAAUUCACUUGACUGUAAUUAUCCAAUUCAGACACUCUUACUAUUCAUUCGUCAUUUCGAAUUCCAUUCUAUUUCAUUCAUUAAUGAAAACCACUCAGGAAGAAUUUCUAACAGAUACAUACUUAGACAUCAUAUAUCUGAUUGAAUUAAAUUACCAGACCAACUUUCUUUUACUAAUGACAAUAUUCAAUCUGAAGAACCUUCGGGACAUUGUACAAGUCCUUCCAGCCUUAAUUCAUUGCCAAAUCGUUCUGAACUUUGCUUACUUUAUCAUUAUCUCACUAUUUAACUCUUUAAUCUUUCUUUGCAAAGUCGUUCUAUUUCGUUCCGUUGAAACCUUAUAAUCAUAUCACUGGUAAGGAGGUGAGGUCGUUAAGCCUCGAAAGAGAGUUUCAUAUUCUGCCAAAUCCUUGAUUCGAACACUUCAUUCAAACAUUUCAACUUUUCAUCUUGUUACAAACACAUUUUCACAUAUCUCAGUUUCACAUGCAACUUUAUUUCUUAUGAGUAUUAACAAAACAUAAGUGAAUUUAUCACGAUUCAAACUUUCAUUUCUAUUACUCAAAUUACCAAAUAAUUUCUUAUCAAAUUUCCACAUAUAGUCUUGAUCAUUUGUCAAUAUUUAUCCCAUUGAAAAACAUCUUACGGUUUCGAGUACGUCGCUUACUUGAUGCCAUAGUCCAACUAUGGUCUUAUACUAACUUUGCUCUACCCAUGUUGAUGCCUAUUUCCGAUAGGUCUUACACUAGCUCAUCUGUCUCAUGUAUUGCCAUGGUCCAAUCAUGGUCUUUUCCGUCAAUUCAUUAUUGAACGAUCGUACUCAUUUCCUGCGUUCUAUCCAAUUUGAUCUUUCAUUACCAUUUACUUUAUACGAUCUCAUACAUCUCUUUACACUGAUGCACACAUAUCAUAAAAUUCUUUUCAUACCUUUUUAAUUCCAUCAUAUCACAUAUAUAUUACAAUGAGUUCAAUAUCAAUUUCAGAUCAAUUAAUAAUAACUCAGUUGGAACACAUCAUUACCUAAGAAAAACAAUUUAUAAGAGCCGGGAGACCUCACACUAUCACACUUUACUUACGGCAUGUAUAGCUAGACUCUUACACUUGCUAUGUUAGUCCGAGAACCGACUAAACCAUAGCUCUGAUACCACUAAAUGUAACACUCCUAACCCGUAUCCGUUGCCGGAAUAAGGUUAUGAGGUAUUACUUGACUGAACAAAACUUCUAUAAGGUCAAAGAUACUUACCAGACAUAAAUUAUCAACAAUGCAAACAUUUCUCAUUGAUUUUCCAUAAAAGCUCUUAUAAAUUUCCAAAAUGACUCACUAUCAAAACAUAACCGAAUAUCUAAUAACAAAUUAACUAUUGUCAAGUUAUAACUAAAACAUUUUACCACAUUAGUUCAAUUAUAAGGCUUCUCUAAAUAAAAUGAGCAAGCCAUAUUCGCAUGGCUAUAAUGUAAACAAAGUCGAAAUAUCAUUCUACCUAUAGUCUAUCCUAUACAUGCCUUAAACCAUGAUGAUAUACAAUCUUCUCAACUCACAUAAUGACUCGAUAGUGUGAUGAUAUCUCUCGCCCUUCCAACUCGAGCUAAAGUAUAAACCUAUAAGAAAUGGAAAAGAGAACACAGUAAGCUUCAAUGCUUAGUAAGUUUUAAGCAAUGCAAACAAUUAAUUUACUUAUAGAUCGAUUAUUUAUAAUUUUCAAGAAAUCAUUCCUAGAUAAUUGCCAUUUUGGCCAAGUAUCCAUGAACAUAAUGCAUAUUUAGCAAAUUCACCUCACUUGAAUCUGAACUCAAUUAAAACCAAAUAUUUAAAUCACAAAUAAGAUCAUAAGAACUCGAAAAGCAUCUCAUUAACAAGUUUUAACCAUGUUUGCAACAAAAUCACAAAUUCACUACAAGUUGUCUUCCUGAGCAACAGUCACUAAAUUAUUUAUAACUGGAGAUAAGAAACUCCAAAUCAAGUGCCAUUAAUUUUCCCUGAAAAUAGACUCAUAUAUCUUCUAUCCAUCAAAUUUUCAUAAUUUUUUGUUUGAUCAAUCAAUACCAUAUUUUUAUUGAAGUUUCCCCUAUUUCACUGUUUGACUAUUCUAACCACUCUUCACUACGAAUCAAUUUUCUCAUUAUACAGAAUUCGAAAUAUGUUAUCGUUUAUUUCAUUUGAAAUUAGACUCAUUAAGGAGUCUAAGAAUAUAAAUUUUAUCUUAUAACCAUUUUUUUACCAUUUAUAAUGAUUUUUUGAAAACGGAACAGGAGACCUCGAAGUCAUUUUGACUCUAUUCCAUGCCACUUCAAAUAUCUCAUUAUUGGAAAUUCUUUUGCUUACACGGUUUCUUUUAUAAGAAACUAAACUCAUUAAUAUUUUGUGACAUAAUUUAUUCAGCCUCUAACUCAACUCCCACAAUUUAUGGUGAUUUUCCGAAAUCACAUUACUGUUGCUGUCCCAAGCAGAUUUAUUACCCAUUCUUUGCAUUCAUAUUAUUUAACAUGUAUAUCACCAAAUCAAUCUCAUAUAACCUUUCACCAUAACCGAAUACACACAUACACAUAUGAGAUUUUCACAUAUACUUCUCAUUUCGCAUUCAUGAUUCAAUUCCGAUCAAUCUAACAUAUAAAAGUAUAUAAUACAUACCUGACCAACUUAAUGUAUUGAACAUAUUCAAUGGUAGUUUACUACGAACAUUCGAAAUCAAAAUCUUACUCCAAUCAUCGGCAUUAAGUCUGCUAGGUUUAAAACCCAAAUCCAAUCACCACCACAAAGCAUGCGGGACUUUAAGCCCGGAUAUAAUACCAGUACAAAGCCUGCGGGACUUUAGCCCGAAUAUAAUACCAGCACAAAGCCUGCGGGACUUUAGCCCGGAUAUAGCACCAGCACGAAUGCCUUCGGGACUUAGCCCGGAUAUAACACCAGCACGAAUGCCUUCGGGACUUAGCCCGGAUAUAACACCAGCACGAAUGCCUUCAAGACUUAGCUCGGAUAUAAUUCUCCAUUAUCAUGCACAUAUAUAUCAUAACACAUUAGCAUUUCAUUUACAUUACUUGAACACAAGCAUAACAUGCUUAUCAACCAUUCCACUUUCGGCUCAAUAGCCACAUACAAAGAACACGAUUUCGUUUCGCUAUCCAACAUGAUUUCUAUAACCAUUCGGCUAUAAGUCAUAUGCACAAAUUAUUUAUCCCACUACGUAAUUCAAGUAGAACCAAUAGGUCACAAUUUAUUUAUUAUGCUUAUAUACUAUGAUUUUAUCAAAUCAUAGGCUAAGUUUCAUUACUCAAAGACUUACCUCGGAUAUUUUGAACAGUUGUGGAUAGGCUACUCGAUUGCUUCCUCCUUUCCCUUAUCUGAUUUAGUUCCUCUUUGCUCUUGAGCUUUAAAUUUAAAUAAAUGAAUUUGUUUAAUUACUUACUCAACUUUAAUUCUAUAAUAGUCACAUUUGACAAUCAUAUAAUUUCAAUGCAUAUUAUGUUUUAUAAAAUAUGCCAUGACUCGAUUUCAUGCUUAUUAUAUCAAUAGCUAAUUCGCAUACUCAAACAAAGAUUCACAUAACUUACCAUGCUACCUUAUACAUGAAUUCAACCAUAUAUACGAAUAUCAACUUAUUAAACAUUUAUCACAUUUCCACUUGCUAUUUAUCAAUAAUGCCGCACACACACAAAUACAUACAUACUCAUAUGCAUGCAACCCAUUUUUGAUUAAUAUAUAUCCCAUUUAGCCCUAACUACUCAAUUUAACCUUCAUAUUCAAAUUUAUAGGUAAUGCCGAAUGCCCAAACUUAAUCAAUCUCAAAAUUUAGCUUUUAUCACUUUAAUUAACUACUACUUAUUCUUCCAAAACCUCAAAUACAAGGUAUUUAGCACUUAUACACUUAUACCGAAUUAGCAAGCUGUAACACCCCUCGCCUACAUCCGACGCCUGGACAGGGUUCGAGGUGCUACCUGACUUUUACUAACACUUCCAUACUAAACAGGGCCAUGAAAUCUCAAAUAAUUAAAAACUUUUCUUUUCACAUGCAAUUUGUCCUUUAUGCGAGCUUACGAGGCCCAAUACAUGCAUUCGGGGUGGUUCGGGAGCCAACCGAGAACUCAUGAAAAACUUAGGAAAUCUCUUGUAUCAAGGAUCCACAAGCCCGUGUAGGUAUAGAACACACGCCCGGGUGCUAAGGACACGCCCAUGUCCCGAACCCAUGUCCAAAACCUGGACAAAUAAGGCUAUUUUCCAAGCCAUUUUGUCACACUCACAACACAUGCACGCAUACUUAUACACUAGCAUACAACAUGGCAAAAUUAGGCACUUAAACCUUUCUAACAUGACAUGACCAUGGUAAUUUCACAUGCAACCAUUACAAUAAGUUUUUCUUUCAUCUUUACCAUAUUAAUGCUAUAGCUAUCAACAUGUCAUCAAACCUCAUGUCCAUCACAAAGCAUGCAUAAUCAUAUCCAGAAACCAUUUUAAUGAAGCAUUAUUAACUAUUUACCAAUCACUUAAUCCUGCAUUAGUUAUUAGCUCAUCAAUGAAUCUCAAUUCAAUCUCUAGGCAUACAUGUUGUAAGCCACAUCACAAGAGAUAAUAACAUACAUGCAUAAGAAUAAUCAUAUGGGCCCAUAACGAUAUUAGCCGACAUAGGCCAAUUUACAUGACUAAUACUACCUUAAUAACAAGCCAAUGCCUUUGGCUAAAUCAUAAUAUUACAUACUCACAUUAAAACCCUAUACAUGCCAUAGACUAGAAUCACUUGAGUUUACUUACGCCGAUAGCGUUAACUCGACAGUGUGAUAAUAUCUCUGACGGCCUCCAACCCGAGCUAACCUGGAAACUCUAGAAAACAUGGGAAAGAAGGGGGGUAAGCUUUCACUUAGUAAGUUCAUAUGAAAACAAUAAGCAACUCAUUAACUUGUUUUAUCAAUGUUUACAACAUAUUCUCAAGUUCACUGCAAGCUGUCUUCCUGAGCAAUAGUUACUAAAUUAUUUAUAUCUGGAGCUACAAAACUCCAAAUUAAGUUCCGUUAAUUUUCCCUGAAACUAAACUCAUUUUCCUUUCUUGCAUAAAAUUUUCAGAAUUUUUGGUUAAUCCAAAUAGUACAUUUUAUUCCUCAAAGUUACCCCUGAUUCACUGUCUAACAGUUCCAACCCUUCUGUACUAAAGUUCAAUUAUCUCAUGGUACAAGACUCGAAUAAUGUUCUCGUCUAUUUCUAUUGAAACUAGACUCAUAUGUCUACUUACUAAUUGUUUUCUAGAAUUUUUGGUUGGGCCAAUUAGUACAGUUUAUUAGUUAAAGUCUCCCCUGUUUUAGGGUAUGACCACUCUGACUCCUGUGCACUACAAACCGAAUUUCUCCCUGUACAAAAUUCUAACGACCAUGGCGUUUAUUUCCCAUAAAAAUAGACUCAAUAAGGAAUCCAUGCAUGUAAGGUAUGACUCUUAAUCAUUUUUGUACAAUUUUUGGUGAAUUUAUAAAUUCAGAACAGGGGAUCUCGAAUUCAUUCAGACCCUGUUUCACAAGAAUUCAAAUAUCACAUAAUAUGGAAUUCUUUUUCUUCCCCUGUUUCUUUCAUGUGAAAAUAGACUCAUUAAGCUUUAAUCCCAUAUUUUAUUCUGCCUCUAACUCAUUUUUCACUAUUUUUAAUGUAUUUUCAAAGUUACACUACUGCAGUAACUCAAAUCUAUCAAGGCUAAAUUACUCAUUCAUGAUCAUUGUUCACAAAAUUAAUACAACAUCGUUUGUAUAAUCAUCACCGAGACAUUUAUAUCACAUUUUCAUUUACCAUCUUACCAUAUUGUUGUUAUGUCGAGUUUUCAACCCGAGGGUUAAGUACAUACCUGUUCAAAGUAUCUAUUUCACAACAUUUACCAAUACGUCCCUUUCAUCUCGAGUAUUCCUCUAUUUGAGUAGAAUUUUACCCGUUGAACACAUCGGAAUAUAAUUCGGAUACAUGGAAAGUUUGCACAUAAGUGCCACAUAUGUAGCCAAGCUACCAUGUAACCCGCCCAUAAGUGAACUCGGACUCAACUCAACGAGCUCGGGCGUUCACAUCCAUAAGUGAACUCGGACUCAACUCAACGAGCUCGGAUGCCUAGUUACAUCUCACGAACUCGGACUCAACUCAACGAGUUCGAACAUUCGCAUCCAUAAGUGAACUCGGACUCAACUCAACGAGUUCGGAUGCUCAACCAUCCUAGUGACAUGUCACUUGUAUCCUAAUCUAUUCCUAAGGUUCGAACGGGAUUUUCCUCGAACACAUAUCCUUGCCAUCUUCCGUAAAAUACCGAAACCAAUACUCGGUAGCACUUUAUAUUUAACAGAUAAUACACAUAACUUGCAUUUUAUUCGAAAAUAACCACAAAGUAUAUAUUUCAUGAUAAAAAUCAGCAUAUCAUAUAUUUAACAUCAAUAACUUAAAAAUAACAAUUAUGCUACAUUAUUUACACAUGAACUUACCUCGAUACCACAAAGGUGAAAAAAAAAGGCGUAAUUAUCCCUUAAUCGAUUUCUUUCCGUUCUAGGUCAAAAUCUCGAUUUUCAUCAUCUAAAAUAUCACAUUCAACUUAUUAAAACAAUGUAUUGAUCAAAUUAGUCCAUUGACACACUUGGGCAAUUUUUACAAUUUUGCCCCUAUAUUUUGCCAAAAUUACCAAAUUACCCCUAGGCUCGUAAAAUAAUUUUUAUCAUAUUACUUUACUCCUUGAGUCUAGAUGAACCAUUUUCAUAACUAUAGCAACUCAUAAUUUCAACUAUUUCAUACAUUUACAACUCAUUUUACAACUUAGCAAUCUAGCCCUUUUUAAGGUGUUUUCAUGCAAUUUCUUUCACAAAAGCUGUUUAUUAAACAACUAGGACUCAUAAUCUUCCAUAAAAACACAGAAAACAACACAUUUAAUCUCAUGGAAAAAUCCUAGACUCUUCAUCAUUUUGCAAAAUAGACCCCUCAUAUGAAAGCUCAUGUUUUAGGGGUUCCAAAAAUGUAAAAAUCAUCAAGAAAGACAUUAAAAAUCACUUACUAGCAAGGGAUGCAAGUCGCUGAUAUUUCAGAGCUUCAAAACCCCUUUCUUUUUUUCCAUUUUCGGUGGAGGAGAAGAGAAAAAUGAUAGCUUUUUUUUAUUUGUUAAUAAUAAAACUAGUCAAAAUUGG